rnacentral:rRNA from 1 species
UACGUAGGGGGCAAGCGUUGUCCGGAUUUAUUGGGCGUAAAGAGCUCGUAGGCGGCUUGUUGCGUCGACUGUGAAAACCCGCGGCUUAACUCCGAGCCUGCUUCUGAUACGGGCAGACUAGAGGUAUGCAGGGGAGAAUGGAAUUCCUGGUGUAGCGGUGAAAUGCGCAGAUAUCAGGAGGAACACCGGUGGCGAAGGCGGUUCUCUGGGCAUGACCUGACGCUGAGGAGCGAAAGUGUGGGGAGCGAACAGG